AAAUAUUGAAUUCAUCAAAUUUCAAUAAGCAACAUGGCUAAGUUGUUGAACUUUAUUAUCAUUUGUUUCUUUCUCAUUUUCUCAGUUACAAUGACAAACACUCAAGUGAAAGCUCAAUUUGAGAAAAAAAAAUCAUAUCCACAUACUUGUGUUAAGAAGAUUGAAAAAAAUUCUUGCAAUAAGGAGAAAUGUGAAGAUAAGUGUUACAGGAUUUAUGAUGGACAGGGAGUUUGUACUGAGGACCAAUGUGUUUGUACUUACAUUUGUGAUGAUCUCCUUUAAUCCAAACAUAGACUUAUGUCAUAAAUAAAAUUGAGUCAAUCACAUUUCUAUGAA